rnacentral:rRNA from 1 species
UACGUAGGGUGCGAGCGUUGUCCGGAAUUAUUGGGCGUAAAGGGCUCGUAGGCGGUUUGUCGCGUCGGGAGUGAAAACACUGGGCUUAACUCAGUGCUUGCUUCCGAUACGGGCAGACUAGAGGCAUGCAGGGGAGAACGGAAUUCCUGGUGUAGCGGUGAAAUGCGCAGAUAUCAGGAGGAACACCGGUGGCGAAGGCGGUUCUCUGGGCAUUACCUGACGCUGAGGAGCGAAAGUGUGGGGAGCGAACAGG